rnacentral:misc_RNA from 1 species
GAAUUGCGAUAUGUAAUGUGAAUUGCAGAAUUCAGUGAAUCAUCGAAUCUUUGAACGCACCUUGCACCCUUUGGUAUUCCGAAGGGUAUGCCUGUUUGAGUGUCAUUAAAUUCUCAACUUCAAAAUUAUUUUUUGAAGCUUGGACUUUGGAGGCUUUGCCGGCGUCAUUGUCAGCUCCUCUUGAAUGCAUUAGCGGAACUUUUUUAAAGGCUAGGCUUUGGUUUGAUAAUAAUAUCUAUGCCGUCGCUGUGACUUUGUGUGUUCAGCUUAUAAUUGUCUUUGGACUGUCUCUUUCGAGGCAUGAAUACAAAAGGUUGACCUCAAAUCAGGUAGGACUACCCGCUGAACUUAA